CACUCAUUAUUCAAAAAAACAUUAUUCCCACCAUUAAAUUUUGGCAAGAAUGGGGGCCAAACGGGGGCUAAGUUCGAAUGGCGCCUAUUAAAAGUCGAUGGUUUUAUACUGAUAUAUUUUGUGUUAUAAGACUUCUUUCUGAAAUAUUUCAUAAGGUGCUUGGUCUAUGAAUAUGAGUUGUUUAUGCUGCAAGGCUCAGAACCUAUGUUUUACUUUCCAUUUUGCAAAAGUUGAUAAUGGAUUCUCUAUUUUAGGUUCUGGUUAACUAUGCAAGGUCGUCAAAGGAGGCAUAAGAAGUUUUCCGGGAGAUAAAUAAUGCCACUUAUAAUACUGAGGCAUGUGGGGGACGGUAUCUUAAUUUUGGUGGAGAUGUUUCAAAAGAAGCAGACAUAGAUCCGAUUAUUAAAACUGAAGCGAAUGCAUGGUGAGCAGUAGACAUUUGAUUAACAAUGCAGGUAUUACUAGGGACGGUUAUUGAUGAGAAUGAAGACAUCUCAAUGGAAGGAAGUUGUUGAUCUAAAUCUUAUUGGGGUGUUCCAAUGUACACAGGUAUUCACGAUUGAUGGGGUAUGGUGAUGUGGGAGACUCGCUUUAAAAAACUCCACGUAGUUACUGCCAAACUAGACUUCCUUCUCUGAACGAGUGACAUGCACAUUCGACUUCACUUGUUUGUAUGCAGCAUCAAGUUUUGGGUCAAGAUAGUUAUGUAAUAUAGUGAAUAUAGGUGAGCCUUCCGUAUGAUUUUCAACAAUUGUUGAGUUCUUCCAAAGGUUGCAAGAACUUUUUGUAUGGCUUCCUUUUCAUAUGGUUCCUAAUUAAAAAUGAUGUCUAGUACGUGAAUAUUCCCAAUA